rnacentral:rRNA from 1 species
UACGAAGGGGGCGAGCGUUGUUCGGAUUUACUGGGCGUAAAGGGCGCGCAGGCGGUUCUGUUUGUCGAGUGUGAAAGCCCCGGGCUCAACCUGGGAACUGCGCUCGAAACGGCGGAACUAGAGUUCGGGAGAGGAGAGUGGAAUUCCCAAUGUAGAGGUGAAAUUCGUAGAUAUUGGGAAGAACACCGGUGGCGAAGGCGGCUCUCUGGACCGAUACUGACGCUGAGGCGCGAAAGCGUGGGGAGCAAACAGG